AUUGAACGCUGGCGGCAGGCCUAACACAUGCAAGUCGAGCGGCAGCGGGUCCUUCGGGAUGCCGGCGAGCGGCGGACGGGUGAGUAAUGCCUAGGAAUCUGCCUGGUAGUGGGGGAUAACGUUCGGAAACGGACGCUAAUACCGCAUACGUCCUACGGGAGAAAGGGGGGGAUCUUCGGACCUCACGCUAUCAGAUGAGCCUAGGUCGGAUUAGCUAGUUGGUGGGGUAAAGGCUCACCAAGGCGACGAUCCGUAACUGGUCUGAGAGGAUGAUCAGUCACACUGGAACUGAGACACGGUCCAGACUCCUACGGGAGGCAGCAGUGGGGAAUAUUGGACAAUGGGCGAAAGCCUGAUCCAGCCAUGCCGCGUGUGUGAAGAAGGUCUUCGGAUUGUAAAGCACUUUAAGUUGGGAGGAAGGGCAGUCAGUUAAUACCUGGUUGUUUUGACGUUACCAACAGAAUAAGCACCGGCUAACUUCGUGCCAGCCGCCGCCGUAAGAC
rnacentral:rRNA from 1 species